GAGUUUGAUCAUGGCUCAGAACGAACGCUGGCGGCAGGCCUAACACAUGCAAGUCGAACGCGUGUAGCAAUACACGAGUGGCGCACGGGUGAGUAACACGUGGGAAUCAACCCAGAGGUUCGGAAUAACCGCGGGAAACUGCGGCUAAUACCGGAUAUCCCCUACGGGGGAAAGAUUUAUCGCCUUUGGACGAGCCCGCGUCCGAUUAGCUAGUUGGUGAGGUAACGGCUCACCAAGGCUACGAUCGGUAGCUGGUCUGAGAGGAUGACCAGCCACACUGGAACUGAGAUACGGUCCAGACUCCUACGGGAGGCAGCAGUGGGGAAUAUUGGGCAAUGGAGGCAACUCUGACCCAGCCAUGCCGCGUGGGUGACGAAGGUCUUCGGAUUGUAAAGCCCUUUCGGCGGGACGAUGAUGACGGUACCCGCAGAAGAAGCCCCGGCUAACUUCGUGCCAGCAGCCGCAGUAAC
rnacentral:rRNA from 1 species